GUGCCGGUGGUGUAAUGGCGUAGAGCAUUCCCGCCCGGUCAGCGGGAAGUGCGGGUUCAAGUCCCGCCUGGCACU
rnacentral:tRNA from 1 species